UACGUAGGGGGCAAGCGUUGUCCGGAUUUAUUGGGCGUAAAGCGUGCGCAGGCGGUUCGUCGUGUCCGAUGUGAAAGCCCCGGGCUCAACCUGGGAAUUGCAGUGGAUACUGGCAAGCUAGAGUGCGGUAGAGGAUGGUGGAAUUCCCGGUGUAGCGGUGAAAUGCGUAGAGAUCGGGAGGAACACCCGUGGCGAAGGCGGCCAUCUGGACCAGCACUGACGCUGAGGCACGAAAGCGUGGGGAGCAAACAGG
rnacentral:rRNA from 1 species